rnacentral:rRNA from 1 species
CUACUCUUGUAUCCUCCUUUUGACUUUCAGAGAUGAUUGUCUUCGGUUCGGCCGGGGGAGUGACAGGUGCUGCAUGGCUGUCGUCAGCUCGUGUCGUGAGAUGUUGGGUUAAGUCCCGCAACGAGCGCAACCCUCAUCGUAUGUUGCCAUCAGGUAAUGCUGGGCACUCGUGCGAGACCGCCGGUGAUAAGCCGGAGGAAGGUGGGGACGACGUCAAGUCAUCAUGGCCCUUACGAGUAGGGCUACAAACGUGCUACAAUGGUGGUGACAGUGAGCAGCCACUCCGCAAGGAGGAGCUAAUCUCUAAAAGCCAUCUCAGUUCAGAUUGUCCUCUGC